ensembl:ncRNA F52H2.9 ncRNA
CAAGCUGGUUCCCACAUUACCGAUCCGAUGACCGCUGUACUCAUAUAUGUAGUAAGUAAACUGACGAGAUAGUGCGGUUUAUGCGGAGGUGAGUGAGGGUGACCAGUGUGCGCAAUUCUUUUUGUCAAUGUC